GAGGGUAUAGCUCAGUGGUAGAGCACAUACUUAGCAUGUACAAGGUCCUGGGUUCAAUUCCCAGUGCCUCCU
rnacentral:tRNA from 1 species